rnacentral:sRNA from 1 species
AAAAUUAUUGUGAGACAAAAUUGACUUUUGUGAGACAAAAUUGACAAUAUUGAAUUUUGUCUCACAAAAGUCAAUUUUGUCUCACAAAAGUC